rnacentral:rRNA from 1 species
UCGGGAAUUUUGGGCAAUGGGGGAAACCCUGACCCAGCAACGCCGCGUGAGUGAAGAAGGCCUUCGGGUUGUAAAGCUCUUUUGUCAGGGAAGAAACGGUAGUAGCGAAUAACUAUUACUAAUGACGGUACCUGAAGAAUAAGCACCGGCUAACUACGUGCCAGCAGCCGCGGUAAUACGUAGGGUGCAAGCGUUAAUCGGAAUUACUGGGCGUAAAGCGUGCGCAGGCGGUUGUGUAAGUCAGAUGUGAAAUCCCCGGGCUCAACCUGGGAAUUGCAUUUGAGACUGCACGGCUAGAGUGUGUCAGAGGGGGGUAGAAUUCCACGUGUAGCAGUGAAAUGCGUAGAUAUGUGGAGGAAUACCGAUGGCGAAGGCAGCCCCCUGGGAUAACACUGACGCUCAUGCACGAAAGCGUGGGGAGCAAACAGGAUUAGAUACCCAAGUAGUCCCUGAGCGGGCUGGCAAGGCGCAU